rnacentral:sRNA from 1 species
UUUUCCUAUACGGCCACCGAAGCCAGAAGGCUUUAUCUGCAAAGGAAGGCAUUUCCCAGUGGUUUCCGAAAUACUUCCUAACUGCCUUUUUGCCAAGCACUAUUCUGCAGUGCUGUGGGAGAGUCAAAGAUGAGUUUCUUCUCCUUACCCCAGAAGCUUCCAGCCAGUGAGGAGACUGACGGUCCCAUAAAACUAAGCACAAGCCAGGGUAUGGGAGCCAGGGAACCUUCAAUAAAGCAAUUAAUCGGUG